rnacentral:rRNA from 1 species
UACGUAGGGUGCGAGCGUUUGUCCGGAAUUAUUGGGCGUAAAGGGCUCGUAGGCGGUUUUGUCGCGUCGGGAGUGAAAACACCGGGCUUAACUCGGUGCUUGCUUUCGAUACGGGGCAGACUAGAGGUAUGCAGGGGGAGAACGGAAUUCCUGGUGUAGCGGUGAAAUGCGCAGAUAUCAGGAGGAACACCGGUGGCGAAGGCGGUUCUCUGGGCAUUACCUGACGCUGAGGAGCGAAAGUGUGGGGGAGCGAACAGG